rnacentral:rRNA from 1 species
UACGUAGGGGGCAAGCGUUAUCCGGAUUUACUGGGUGUAAAGGGAGCGUAGACGGCUAAUCAAGUCAGAAGUGAAAACCCAGGGCUCAACCUUGGGACUGCUUUUGAAACUGAGUAGCUAGAGUGCAGGAGAGGUAAGCGGAAUUCCUAGUGUAGCGGUGAAAUGCGUAGAUAUUAGGAGGAACACCAGUGGCGAAGGCGACUUUCUGGACUGUACCUGACGCUGAGGCGCGAAAGCGUGGGUAGCGAACGGG